rfam:Picea glauca, whole genome shotgun sequence.
ACAUGAUUAUAGCAUAGCAUUAAUGCACCAGAUCAAAUUAUAACUCUGUAGUUAAGCAUGCUCAGGAUAGAGUAGUAUUGGGAUGGGUGACCACCCGGGAAGUCCUAGUAUUUUACAUGUC